GACGAACCGUGCAAACGUUAUUCGGAAUCACUGGGCAUAAAGGGCGCGUAGGCGGCUUGACAAGUCAGGGGUGAAAUCCGGCAGCUUAACUGUCGCAGUGCCUUUGAUACUGUCGAGCUCGAGGGAGGUAGGGGUCUGUGGAACUUCCGGUGGAGCGGUGAAAUGCGUUGAUAUCGGAAGGAACACCGGUGGCGAAAGCGGCGCGCUGGACCUUUACUGACGCUGAGGCGCGAAAGCCAGGGGAGCAAACGGG
rnacentral:rRNA from 1 species